rnacentral:rRNA from 1 species
CUGCGGAAGGAUCAUUAGCGAAGUCUGGCUCGUCUUGUCCUGUUCUGAUGCUGCCCUGCAAAGGGAUGUGCUCGUCUGGCUUGACGUCCCUUCACUAUUCCACCCCACUGUGAACCAAGCGUGCGGAAUGAAGGAGAGAUCCGGAAGUCCGCAUGCAUACAUACAACAUACCCCAUUGUAGUCUCAGAAUGUACCUUGCGUUAACUCGCACAAAUAUAACUUUCAACAACGGAUCUCUUGGCUCUCGCAUCGAUGAAGAACGCAGCGAAAUGCGAUAAGUAAUGUGAAUUGCAGAAUUCAGUGAAUCAUCGAAUCUUUGAACGCACCUUGCGCCCCUUGGCAUUCCGAGGGGCACGCCUGUUCGAGUGUCGUGAACUCCUCCACUCCUUACCUUUUUCGAAAGGCAUUGAGCUGGGAUUUGGGAGCUUGCGGGUCCCUGGCCGAUCCGCUCUCCUUGAAUACAUUAGCAGAGCCCCUGCGGCCUCGGUGUGAUAGUAUCUACGCCUUGACUUAGCGCACAUAGUGGGCACAGCUUCGAACCGUCUCGCAAGGGACAACGACUACCAACUUGACCUCGAAUCAGGCGG